UUCGCAUGGUUCAUUUCUUCUUCUCAUGCUCUUUCUUCUCUCAUUCCAUUCUAUUUAAAAUAAAAGCACAGGAACGAAGUGGAAUGAGAUGAAAGAAAGAAGAAGGACGAUGAUUGAAGAUUUAUUUUGUGUCUUUUCGCUCAUUUGUAAUGUAGUGAAACGGAAUAAAAGAACGUAAGUGA
rnacentral:ribozyme from 1 species